rnacentral:rRNA from 1 species
AUUGAACGCUGGCGGCAGGCCUAACACAUGCAAGUCGAGCGAGCGGCGGACGGGUGAGUAAUGUCUGGGAAACUGCCUGAUGGAGGGGGAUAACUACUGGAAACGGUAGCUAAUACCGCAUACCAUCAGAUGUGCCCAGAGGGGAUUAGCUAGUAGGUGGGGUAACGUCUCACCUAGGCGACGAUCCCUAGCUGGUCUGGGAGGAUGACCAGCCACAGUGGACGUGAGCCACGUUCCAAACUCCGACGGGAGGAAGCAGUGGGGAAUAUUGAACAAUGGGCGCAAGCCUGAUGCAGCCAUGCGGGGUGUGUGAAGAGGGCCUUGGGGUUGUAAAGCACUUUCAGCGGGGAGGCGUUACCCGCAGAGGAAGCACCGGCUAACUCCGUGCCAGCAGCCGCGGUAAAC